rnacentral:rRNA from 1 species
CCAGGCGUCGAGCGGCGGACGGGUGAGUAAUGCAUAGGAAUCUGCCCGGUAGUGGGGGAUAACCUGGGGAAACCCAGGCUAAUACCGCAUACGUCCUACGGGAGAAAGCAGGGGAUCUUCGGACCUUGCGCUAUCGGAUGAGCCUAUGUCGGAUUAGCUUGUUGGUGAGGUAAUGGCUCACCAAGGCGACGAUCCGUAGCUGGUCUGAGAGGAUGAUCAGCCACAUCGGGACUGAGACACGGCCCGAACUCCUACGGGAGGCAGCAGUGGGGAAUAUUGGACAAUGGGCGAAAGCCUGAUCCAGCCAUGCCGCGUGUGUGAAGAAGGCUUUCGGGUUGUAAAGCACUUUCAGUGAGGAAGAAGGCCUUGGGGCUAAUACCCCCGAGGAAGGACAUCACUCACAGAAGAAGCACCGGCUAACUCCGUGCCAGCAGCCGCGGUAAUACGGAGGGUGCGAGCGUUAAUCGGAAUUACUGGGCGUAAAGCGCGCGUAGGCGGCGUGAUAAGCCGGUUGUGAAAGCCCCGGGCUCAACCUGGGAACGGCAUCCGGAACUGUCAGGCUAGAGUGCAGGAGAGGAAGGUAGAAUUCCCGGUGUAGCGGUGAAAUGCGUAGAGAUCGGGAGGAAUACCAGUGGCGAAGGCGGCCUUCUGGACUGACACUGACGCUGAGGUGCGAAAGCGUGGGUAGCAAACAGGAUUAGAUACCCUGGUAGUCCACGCCGUAAACGAUGUCGACUAGCCGUUGGGGUCCUUGAGACCUUUGUGGCGCAGUUAACGCGAUAAGUCGACCGCCUGGGGAGUACGGCCGCAAGGUUAAAACUCAAAUGAAUUGACGGGGGCCCGCACAAGCGGUGGAGCAUGUGGUUUAAUUCGAUGCAACGC